GGUGGUGCUGCCGUCAGGGCUGCGGCUCUGAGGGCAGUGGGGAGGUGUUCUUUACGUCCCGUCCCGUCCCGAUCCAACCCACCCCAACCCAACCCACAUGCUGGGCAUCGACUUUACCCGAAUCUUCAUGGCUUUGUAAGCCAACCUCAUGGAAAAGUUCAAACAUGGAGGGCGAGUUCAGAGGCCACUCCAGAGCUGCAGGCCUGCCCUCCUGUGGUGCCUCAUCAAACGUGUUUAGCAGUGCAGAAAUCACUAAUUAGUCAUAACCGCUAAUUAAUUCCUUCUAAUGAACUCGCCAAACGCAGUGUUUUAAGCAAUUUGGCUUAAACAAACUGGGGUUAAUUCUGCAGUCAGGCCUGGCUUCAUGCUCACAGUUUCCUGUGCGAGCUGUUCCUGUGUGAUGCUCACGGUAAAAACCCAGUAAAAUAUUUAAUCCUCCGGACUGUGCAGCUUGGAGCUGCCCCCUCUGCCGUCUGCAAUCGCAUGGAUCGCUGAGCUGUUCCUGCCCCAUCCCGGAGCAAGUGUGGGAUGGCGGAUCCAGCUGAGUCAUGCCCUGGCAGAGUGCACAUGCAGUGCAAUGCUCUGAACAUGUGACGAUGAAGAGAAGCAGUAAAAUGGAAAUGAGAAAGAGCAGAAAUGCCAGGUUUCUUCCUACACACAUAUUCGUGAGUUGUUGUGCAAAGUUGGGAACAUCACUGUAUUUUUGGAGUUUUAAAGCAAUCUUCACAGCCUAUCCUGUAGAUUAGCAGUUGUUAAAAUCUUUACUUCAUAAAAAACAAAACAAAAAAUCCCCACAGCUGAGCCUUUUUUUUUUUUUUUUAAUCAUUAUUCUUAUUUGACACUCACAUUACAAAAUUUAGAAACCAUAGACAGUUCAGGCAAACUGUUAAAACACAGUAUAAAUUAGGGGGGUUUAAUAUAUAAAUUCUAUACAUAGGUAAGUUAGCUGGAACAUGACUGACAAAAGGAUUUCAUAACAAUCUUACCACAACUGUAUAAAAAGGCAUGGGAGUAGGAUGGGCACUAUCAUCAUGGAUGCAGGUUAAGACAUUUUCCACAACAGCUAUAAAGCGUAACAAUGACCAUGCUAUUCUCGCCGUGUUUAUGUGGGCUACAGGAUGCAUAUUACCAAUAACAUUUUGCAAGAUCUAUGUACAGUCACAAAAUCAUAACAGCCACUUUCAGGUAACUUUACUGUUUCCUGCCUGUGCAAUUAAUAAAGUGUUGGUAUUUGUUCUGGGAAUUUCUAACAAAGCUACAUGGUUUGCGUAUUAUAGAUGGGUUAAAAAUUUGACUCGAUCUUAAAGGUCCUUUCCAACCUAAAUGAUUCUACAAUUUUAUGGUUCUAUGGUAGAGGGAUUUCAAUUUGACCUGAAAAUGCUAAUCACAACAUGAAUUUUUUAAUUUAAUGAAAAAGAUACAGUAAAAGCACAGUUCCUCAUUGCUAUCACUCACAUGAUUAAUAUAUACCCCUCUUUUAAGCCGUAUUUAUUUCUUAGCUUGAUUAUUUUUAAAACCUAAGUGACAAUUUAUUCCCAUUUAUCUAAGCACAGCUGUAAAAA